rnacentral:rRNA from 1 species
UACGAAGGGGGCUAGCGUUGCUCGGAAUCACUGGGCGUAAAGGGUGCGUAGGCGGGUCUUUAAGUCAGAGGUGAAAUCCUGGAGCUCAACUCCAGAACUGCCUUUGAUACUGAGGAUCUUGAGUUCGGGAGAGGUGAGUGGAACUGCGAGUGUAGAGGUGAAAUUCGUAGAUAUUCGCAAGAACACCAGUGGCGAAGGCGGCUCACUGGCCCGAUACUGACGCUGAGGCACGAAAGCGUGGGGAGCGAACGGG